rnacentral:rRNA from 1 species
AGUGAACGCUGGCGGUAGGCCUAACACAUGCAAGUCGAACGGCAGCACAGUAAGAGCUUGCUCUUACGGGUGGCGAGUGGCGGACGGGUGAGGAAUACACCGGAAUCUACUUUUUCGUGGGGGAUAACGUAGGGAAACUUACGCUAAUACCUCAUACGACCUACGGGUGAAAGCAGGGGAUCUUCGGACCUUGCGCGAUUGAAUGAGCCGAUGUCGGAUUAGCUAGUUGGCGGGGUAAAGGCCCACCAAGGCGACGAUCCGUAGCUGGUCUGAGAGGAUGAUCAGCCACACUGGAACUGAGACACGGUCCAGACUCCUACGGGAGGCAGCAGUGGGGAAUAUUGGACAAUGGGCGCAGGCCUGAUCCAGCCAUACCGCGUGGGUGAAGAAGGCCUUCGGGUUGUAAAGCCCUUUUGUUGGGAAAGAAAAGCAGCAGGUUAAUACCCCGCUGUUCUGACGGUACCCAAAGAAUAAGCACCGGCUAACUUCGUG